rnacentral:rRNA from 1 species
UACGUAGGGGGCAAGCGUUGUCCGGAAUCAUUGGGCGUAAAGAGCGCGUAGGCGGCCCGAUAAGUCCGCUGUGAAAGUCCAGGGCUCAACCCUUGAAUGCCGGUGGAUACUGUCGGGCUAGAGUCCGGAAGAGGCGAGUGGAAUUCCUGGUGUAGCGGUGAAAUGCGCAGAUAUCAGGAGGAACACCAGCGGCGAAGGCGCUGCUCUGGGCCGGUACUGACGCUGAGGAGCGAAAGCGUGGGGAGCGAACAGG